rnacentral:rRNA from 2 species
AAAGAUUAAGCCAUGCAUGUCUAAGUACAAGCCUCAGCAAGGUGAAACCGCGAAUGGCUCAUUAAAUCACACCUAAUGUACUGGACAGUUUCAGUUACUUGGAUAACUGCGGUAAUUCUGGAGCUAAUACAUGCGUACAAGCCCUGACUCACGGAGGGGCGCUUUUAUUAGACUAAAACCAAACGGCUUCGGCCGUUCCACUGGUGAAUCUGAAUAACUUUUUGCGGAUCGCACGGCCUUGUGCCGGCGACGUGUCCUUCCAAGGUGUGCCCUAUCAACUGUCGACUGU